rnacentral:rRNA from 1 species
CCCUUAGAUGUCCUGGGCCGCACGCGCGCUACACUGACAUGUUCAACAAGCCUCCUAGUUCGACAGGAUUUGGGAAAUCUUUGAACGCAUGUCGUGAUAGGGAUAGAUCAUUGCAAUUAUUGAUCUUGAACGAGGAAUUCCUAGUAAACGCGAGUCAUCAGCUUGCAUUGAUUACGUCCCUGCCCUUUGUACACACCGCCCGUCGCUCCUACCGAUUGAAUGAUCCGAUGAAUAUCAUGGACUGAGAGUGUUAGAGUUUUCGGACUUCUACACUUCUCGGGAAGUGAAGUGAAUCUUAUCAUUUAGAGGAAGGAGAAGUCGUAACA